rnacentral:lncRNA from 1 species
ACAGGGGCGUUGCAGGUGGAGCCCUGAAAGCUGAACUUUGAGCUGCUGAGUCAGUGUGAGACAUCCAGAAGGAUCCACACCAUUUUUCAGGCGUGUCAGAGCAUGUGUGCAAACCUCGGGAAGUGUUCCCAACCUUCCUGCACGCAGAGGGUUCCUGGAACUGUUGUGACCUGCAGAGAUCUCCCUGGGAUGCCAGGGCAGCUCUCAGGGAGGAAGUUUAAAGGUCACUGCUCCAAGAUGUGCUCCAGACAAAGCUCCGGUGGCUGCCAUGGGAUGUCCUCCCAGUCCAGCGGGUGCCACAGCCAAGGCUCCGGUUGCCACGGGGGCGGCUCCUCCAGUUACCAAUCCCAAGGCUCCUCCUGCUCCGGGGGCGGAGGGGGCAAAGUCAUCAUCAGCUCUGGUGGUGGAGGAGGGGGAUCCUGCUGCAGUGGGGGCUCCUCUGGAUAUGGGAUGGGAGGGGGAUAUAGUGGUGGCUCUUCAGGAUCAAAGAGCAUCAUUGGAGAGGGAAGCAGUGGAGGAUACUCAGGUUGUGGCAUGGGAGGAGGGUACGGUGGUGGCUCUUCAGGAUCAAAGAGCAUCAUUGGAGGUGGAGGUUCCUCUGGAUGCUGCAGUGGAGGAUCCAGCUAUGGGAUGGGAGGAGGAUACGGUGGUGGCUCUUCAGGAUCAAAGACCAUCAUUGGAGGGGGAAGCAGUGGAGGAUACUCAGGUUGUGGCAUGGGAGGAGGAUAUGGUGGUGGCUCUUCAGGAUCAAAGAGCAUCAUUGGAGGGGGAGGUUCCUCUGGAUGCUGCAGUGGAGGAUCCAGCUAUGGGAUGGGAGGAGGAUACGGUGGUGGCUCUUCAGGAUCAAAGACCAUCAUUGGAGGGGGAGGUUCCUCUGGAUACUGUGGUGGAGGAUACUCAGGAUAUGGCAUGGGAGGAGGGUACGGUGGUGGCUCUUCAGGAGGGAAGACCAUCAUUGGAGGUGGAGGCAGUGGUGGAUGCUACGGUGGAGGAUCCAGCUAUGGGAUGGGAGGAGGAUACGGUGGUGGCUCCUCAGGCCAGACCAUCAUCAUCAGCUCUGGAGGUGGCGGCGGAGGCUCCUCGCAGCAGAAAUGUCCCAUUGUCAUCCCCAGCGUGGUGUCCCACCAGAGCAAGCAGAGCUCCUACUGGCCCUAUGGCCAGCAGAAGUAACAGCCCUGGCCAGCUCCAAUUCUGAGUCUCUGCCAUGGCUCGUCCUUGCCUUCAGCCCUGGCUCUGCUGCCUGGUCCUUCCCAACGUGUCCUCUCCGGUCCCCUGGACGCUGCACCCUCGUGUGAGAUCUCCAGGAUUGCCCUGCUGUGCCCUGCUCCUGGUGCCGGGGUGCCUUUGAUAAUGUUCUGCCACUUUUUACACCCAAUAAAUGUUACAAUUGCUCAAACCUGCCCUUUUUU